rnacentral:rRNA from 1 species
GUAGGGGCCAGCGUUGUCCGGAUUCAUUGGGCGUAAAGAGCGUGUAGGCGGUUCAAUAGGUCCGAUGUGAAAACUCGAGGCUCAACCUCGAGAGGUCGUCGGAAACCAUUGAGCUAGAGUCCGGAAGAGGAGAGUGGAAUUCCUGGUGUAGCGGUGAAAUGCGCAGAUAUCAGGAAGAACACCGAUGGCGAAGGCAGCUCUCUGGGACGGUACUGACGCUGAGACGCGAAAGCGUGGGGGGAGUGAACAGGAUUAGAUACCCUGGUAGUCCACGCCGUAAACCGAUGGGCAUUAGGUGUGGUGGUAUCGACUCCAUCCGUGCCGAAGCUAACGCAUUAAAAUGCCCCCCGCCUGGGAAGUACGGCCGCAAGGCUA